GACGAACGCUGGCGGCGUGCUUAACACAUGCAAGUCGAACGAAGUGGCGAACGGGUGAGUAACGCGUAAUCAACCUGCCCUUCAGAGGGGGAUAACAGUUGGAAACGACUGCUAAUACCGCAUACUGAAGGAGGGGAUUGCGUCGGAUUAGCUAGUGGGAGGGGUAACGGCCCACCAAGGCGGUGAUCAGGAGCCGGUCUGGGAGGAUGAACGGCCAAAUUGGGACUGGGAAACGGCCCAGAAUCCUAAGGGAGGGAGCAGUGGGGAAGCUUCCGAAAUGGACGAAAGUCUGAAGGAGCAACGCCGGGGGAGUGAUGACGGCCUUCGGGUUGUAAAGCUCUGUUAAGCGGGACGCGGUACCGGAAUAGAAAGCAACGGCUAACUACGUGCCAGCAGCCGCGGUAAUAC
rnacentral:rRNA from 1 species